AUUGAACGCUGGCGGCAGGCCUAACACAUGCAAGUCGAACGAGUGGCGGACGGGUGAGUAAUGUCUGGGAAACUGCCUGAUGGAGGGGGAUAACUACUGGAAACGGUAGCUACUACCGCAUACCAUCAGAUGUGCCCAGAUGGGAUUAGCUAGUAGGUGAGGUAACGGCUCACCUAGGCGACGAUCCCUAGCUGGUCUGAGAGGCUGACCAGCCACACUGGAACGUAGACACGGGCCAGACACCUACGGGAGGCAGCAGUGGGUAAUAUUGCACAAUGGGCGCAAGCCUGAUGCAGCCAUGCAGCGUGUAUGAAGAAGUCAUGCGGGUUGUAAAGUACUUUCAGCGGUGAAGCGUUACCCGCAGAAGAAGCACCGGCUAACUCCGUGCCAGCCGCCGCGGUAAUUC
rnacentral:rRNA from 1 species